GGCCGAGCACAGGAGGAAAGGGAUCUUCUCACCGUGGGAGCUCCUGGGGGUGUUUCUCUCCUGUUCUGUUAGGUAGCAAAAAAAAAGAAAGGACUUUUUUUCCUUAUUUUCUGCAGCAUCUGCAGGCAUGAGUUGGGCCUAUGCAACGGCGUGUAGGAGCGCGUGCCUCCUUCGCUUGAUCUCCUUUCGUUCCCGGGAACGCUUCUCUCAUCAGAGCUUGCAGAUUUCAGGCACGCCGUAAGAUAUUUUUAAUCAUCAUCUGUCACGAAGUUUCCGAGUUAAAGGAGCCUCUGUCCUGCUGGGAGAAGCCUAUUUAUUCCCCCUUGUUUAAAACACCCUGGCAGUCGUUUUCAUGACGACGCCUCCUCCCUGCCCCUCCUGGGCUGCGCGGCCGUAUUUACGGGUGUCCAGCAGAAGAGCUUUCCUGCCCCGUCCCUUCGCACCUCCCCUGCCGCCUCCCUCUUUCCCCGAGACGUAUCCCGUGCGCGACUUCCAACAGCACAACCCGGCAAAUAAGCGCGACAAGAUGCAAUAAGGUAGAGCUGCGUUUGCGAGUCUGAGCCCAAGCUUGAAUGGCAGAUGGGGAAACGGAGACAGUCGCGCACUUGAGGUAGCCCCUAAAACGUGGCGUCGCUCGAUCGUCUGGCACGGGCCCUGGGAGGAGUAAUGUCUCCCCAGUGACAUCUCUGCUGGGAGCAACCUUUCUGGGGCUUCGGGAGGGGUUAAUUAAGCACAUGCCUCAGUUUCCCCAGCCAGCUGCCUCAGCUGCUGAGACAUCUACCUUCUCCUAAAAGACAUGGAAGGGCUUGGCCACGCGCCGCACGCCCCGGCUGCGCCGGCCGAUGGGGAGCCGCGGUCAGCACCGCGAUGCAAGGAAGGCGAAUCCCUAGGAGAUCCUCCUAUACGGCAGGCAAGAGAAGGGGGAAAGUCUCCGGCCACAUUCCUCCGUUACAACACACCUGAGUUGUUGAUGCUAAUUAACAACAUCUGCUCGGUGGGUGCAACUUCCGCCGGACCACGGAGAAGUUUGCAGGGAAGAGCUGAGUGGGGGUUUGCUGCUAAGCUGAAGAAACCUUCUCGGGACAGCUUCUGACGAGAGGUGAGGAACAAGCCAUUUGUUUUCUCGAGUUUGAAAGUCAGAAUGACGCUGCUGGGUGAAAAUAAGAUUUCAGAGGGAAGUGGCAAGGAAAAUCCAAUCAAAGCACACUAAGUGUCUGUUGGUGAAGCAGCCCUAGCAUACCAUAUUUUCAAACGUGUAUCUUAUUUGAAAAUAUGCUUAUUAUCUUUCAGCAUUAAAAAAGCAGGAAUAAAAGCCCCAGCCACACAUCUGGCUGGAUGUCC
rnacentral:lncRNA from 1 species